rnacentral:rRNA from 1 species
GAUGAACGCUGGCGGCGUGCCUAAUACAUGCAAGUCGAGCGAGGCGGGGACGGGUGAGUCACACGUGGCUAACCUCCUAUAAGACUGGGAUAACUUCGGGAAACCGGAGAUAGACCCGAUACUUAUAGGUGGAUCUUCGCUGCAUUAGCUAGUGGGUAAGGUAACGGCUUACCAAGGCAACGAUGCAUAGCCGACCUGAGAGGGUGAUCGGCCACACUGGAACUGAGACACGGUCCAGACUCCUACGGGAGGCAGCAGUGGGGAAUAUUCCGCAAUGGGCGAAAGCCUGACGGAGCAACGCCGCGUGAGUGAUGAAGGUCUUCGGAUUGUAAAGCUCUUUUAUUAGGGAAGCGGUACCUAAUCAGAAAGCCCCGGCUAACUACGUGCCAGCAGCCGCGGUAAUAC